UACGAACUGUGCAAACGUUAUUCGGAAUCACUGGGCUUAAAGGGUGCGUAGGCGGCUGUCUAAGUAGGGUGUGAAAGCCCCCGGCUCAACCGGGGAAUUGCGCCCUAAACUGGACGGCUGGAGUGAGGCAGGGGUGAUGUGGAACUUCCGGUGGAGCGGUGAAAUGUGUUGAUAUCGGAAGGAACGCCGGUGGCGAAAGCGACACACUGGGUCUCAACUGACGCUGAGGCACGAAAGCCAGGGGAGCAAACGGG
rnacentral:rRNA from 1 species